rnacentral:tRNA from 1 species
GGACCCGUAGCUCAGCUGGAUAGGGCGUCGCUCUCCGAAGGCGAAGGUCGAAGGUUCGAAUCCUUUCGGGUCCGGCA